GGCGGGGGAGGGCGGAGGGAUGGGAACGGAGGAGAAGAAGGGCACCGCGGCGGGAGGGAAGAAACAGAGCGAGCUACGCUGCGGGAGCGCAGUUACCAACCGGCCGCGGUCACGUGCAUGGGAGGAAGAGCUGAGACCUCAGGGGAGGGGCGCGCGGUAGCGCCUCGAGUCCCCUAGUGGGGCUCCUGGGAACGAGUCCCCAGCCACCGACAGAUCACGACCCCGCUGCUCCCACUUUAUUUUCAGCCGAGUCUUCCGCCUCUCCGUUCCUCACUACUUACGAAAUCUCCCAUGGAAUGGUUCUGUGGCAACAAACGGUGAAGCCAAGUCACCUCGCUGUUCACAAAACCCUUUUUAUCUCCACAUAGGGAGUUUCUGGCAACGCAGUAUUCUUAAAGCAUAAAGUAUAUUUUUGGAGACUACACAUCAAUGGGUUGUACCUGUAGCCUGGUGUGUAAAGCUCAUUUAGUGAAACCUCAAAGCUAUUAUGUGUCAACUUUUCUACAACAAAUAUUUUGCCACAUGACAAAUAUUCGGCAAAUAUCGAUGGAGUAACACUGACAUGAUUCACAGGCGGUUACAGAGGGUCCGUUCAAUCAGUUGCAAAUGAUGAGGUUAAAAUAAUGGUACUGUGCACACAGUGCUCUCCUUCCAACUAGUAGAUUAACACCUGUGUACAUCUCCAGCUGCUUGGGGACAGUAGUGUCUCAAUCUCAUAGUAUUUUAGUGUAAAACAUUUUUAACAUAAUUGAAUAGUUUCAAUGUGAAGAACAUUUCGAAACAUAUAAUCUAAGGUACCUUAGAUUGGGUUUCAAUUUGAAAGAUUUUAUCGAGUUAGAGGACCUUUCAAUUUCGGUGAGAUAAAUUCUAGAGAAGAGUUUCCCGACAAUUUUGACAUUGAGGAUUAUUAUUUCUUCCCCUUAAAACCAAGGAACUCUUAUGAUGUCAUCGAUAUCAAGAGUUCAUCGGUUUGUUUUUGUUUGUUUUUUGAGUUGGAAUCUCGUACUGUCGCCCGGACUGGAGGGCUUUGAAGAGAUCUCAGCUCACUGCAACCUCCACCUCCUGGGUUCAAGCGAAUCUUCUGCCUCAGCCUCCUGAGUAGCUGGGAUUACAGGCACUGCCACAACGGCCGGCUGAUUUUUUUGUAUUUUUAAUAGAGACGGAGUUACACUAUGUUGGCCAGGCUGAUCUCGAACUUCGGACCUCGUGAUCCACCUACUUCGGCCUCCCAAAGUGCUGGGAUUACUGGCAUGAGCCAGCGCACCCAGCAAUCAGUUUUCCUACUGGUGAUAUAAUGAUGAUAUAUUAAACUAUAAAGCCUAUUAUAAUGUUUAACGAUGACUCCAGGAAAGCUUUGUGAUAUAUAACAAACCAACAUUAAUACCCUCUAGUUUGGAUAAUACUCUGCCAACUCUGCUAUGAAGCUCAACGAAAGGAAUUUAUUGUUGCCUCUCUCUAUAGCGAUUAGGAGGAUGAACUCAGAAGCAAGUAGAGAUGGAUUCUGUUCUGCCUCCUCCUCACUGUGUCAUGUUAGUUACUAAUCUUUAGGAACUUCGAGUUCCUUUUCUGUGAGAAGAUAUAUCAUGGUUGAAAGAUUAAGGGAAAAGAUAUGCAGUGUAGAUGGUAGCAUGUGUUUGGCAUGUAUAAGCCCUCAGUAAAUAACUGCUAGUAUUUUCUACAUUGGAUGCUGGAGAGGGAUGAAAUAAACUAUCUUUUAUUCCUGAA